rnacentral:rRNA from 1 species
CAACACAUGGUCACAUGGUCUCACAUGGUCACCCACUGAAGCUAAGCAGGGCUGCGCCCGGUCAGUACCUGGAUGGGAGACCACAUGGGAAAGCUAGGUUGCUGC